UACAUGGGGUGCAAACGUUGCUCGGAAUUAUUGGGCGUAAAGCGCACGUAGGUGGCUUGUUAAGUCGGGUGUGAAAUCCCUGGGCUCAACCCAGGAAGUGCACUCGAAACUGGCGAGCUUGAGUACUGAAGAGGGUCGCGGAAUUCCCGGUGUAGAGGUGAAAUUCGUAGAUAUCGGGAGGAACACCAGUGGCGAAGGCGGCGACCUGGGCAGAUACUGACACUGAGGUGCGAAAGCGUGGGGAGCAAACAGG
rnacentral:rRNA from 1 species